rnacentral:rRNA from 1 species
AUAUCAGUUAUAGUUUAUUUGAUGGUUUUUUUCUAUAAGGAUAACUGUGGAAAAUCUAGAGCUAAUACUUGCGUGAAUUCUCGACUUCGGAAGAGAUGCAAUUAUUAGAUUAAACACCAACCGCUUAACGGCGUCUCGGUGAUUCAUAGUAAUUUUGCGGAUCGAAUGGCCCUGUGCUGUCGACGCUUCAUUCAAGUUUCUGCCCUAUCAGUUUUCGAUGGUAGUGUAUUGGACUACCAUGACUAUAACGGGUAACGGAGAAUUAGGGUUCGAUUCCGGAGAGGGAGCCUGAGAAACGGCUACCACAUCCAAGGAAGGCAGCAGGCGCGUAAAUUACCCAAUCCUGACACAGGGAGGUAGUGACAAGAAAUAACAACAGUGGUGUCUCAGUAUACUACUGAUUGGAAUGAGAACAUCCUAAAAAAUUUAACGAGAAACAAUUGGAGGGCAAGCCUGGUGCCAGCAGCCGCGGUAAUUCCAGCUCCAAUAGCGUAUACUAAUGUUGUUGCAGUUAAAAAGCUCGUAGUCGGAUUUCAUGUAGCGGUGUUACUGUCACUCUUCGAGUAAGACGGCAACCUUCGCUGCAUUCUUUUGUUACUGUUUUAUUCUGGUCUUAAUUGAUUGGAGUAAGGCACGGCAUCUUUUACUUUGAGAAAAUUAGAGUGUUCAAAGCGGGCGUUUUCGCCUUGAAUAUUACUCAUGGAAUAAUAAUAUAUGACUUCGGUCUCCUUUUGUUGGUGUUUGUUGGCUGAAGUAAUGAUUGAUAGGGACAGUUGGGGUCAUUAGUACUCCUUAGCGAGAGGUGAAAUUCUUAGACCUUAGGAAGACUAGCUACUGCGAAAGCAUUUGACAGGGAUGUUCCCGUUGAUCAAGAACGAAAGUUGAGGGAUCGAAGACGAUCAGAUACCGUCGUAGUCUCAACCAUAAACUAUGCCAGCUAGGGAUUGGGAGAGGCCUAUUUUACAAGACUCUCUCAGCCCUUAUGAGAAAUCAAAGCGUUUGGGUUCCGGGGGGAGUAUGGUCGCAAGGCUGAAACUUAAAGGAAUUGACGGGAGGGCACCCCAGGAGUGGAGCCUGUGGCUUAAUUUGAUUCAACACGGGAAA